CAACCACUACUUCAGUCACAAUAUUAACAUCAUGGCGUUUAAACAUACAAAAGUGUACAAAAUGUGACUCAAGGAAAUGUUACAAAAUAUUAAAUUUCAAUUUUCUUAAUUGAAUCUUAAUCUUUGCAUUUUGGAUUCAAUCUAAUUUUCAGCACCAACUGUACAUGGAUUUGACCAUCUUUCCAUAUUCAAUAUGCUGCUGAGGUAAAUCCAUCAACAGCGGCAAAAAAAGAAACAUGAGAUGAAAAAAUAAAAAAAGGGGCAAUAUUGUUACCGCACAUUAACAUUAACAUUGUGAUGUUAGUGCUUUGAUAGUCUGAUCGGAAUAUUUGCCUUAUACUAUUUACUCAAAGUAUACUAUUGAAACUAUCUAUUUACACUAUUUUUGAUUUUAUUGUUCAAAGAUAAGAUCGGCAUCUUAUCUUGAAAUGGAAAUUAUAAGUUGAGAAUUGUAAACUGAGAAAA